UCACACGAACGGGAGAAUUCAAGUAGGCGUACAACUCACACAUACCAUCGGAUGUAUUAGAGGGUCCAAAGCCACAGUCGCUCAAAGGGAAUACCUCCUCGUUAACAAGAUGGCGGACAUAGUACUUAGAAUCUUCACAUUGGAAAAGCUCAGUAAUCAAAUUACCAGCAAAUGGGACAAAUUCAGAAGCCUUCAUGGAGUGAGAGUGGACUUGGUAGGAAGU